GCCCACCCCUUUCCAUUCCGAACAGGGAAGUUAAGCCCGUUUGCGCCGAUGGUACUGCCACACCAGGUGGGAGAGUAGGUCGCCGCCUUCC
rnacentral:rRNA from 1 species